UACGUAGGUGGCGAGCGUUGUCCGGAUUUACUGGGCGUAAAGAGCGCGCAGGCGGUCGUCCAAGUCGCGUGUGAAAGCCCCCGGCUCAACUGGGGAGGGUCACGCGAUACUGAUCGACUCGAAGGCAGGAGAGGGUAGUGGAAUUCCCGGUGUAGUGGUGAAAUGCGCAGAUAUCAGGAGGAACACCGAUGGCGAAGGCAGGUCUCUGGGCCGAUACUGACGCUGAGGAGCGAAAGCGUGGGGAGCGAACAGG
rnacentral:rRNA from 1 species